UGGGGAAGAUACUUAGCAGAGGUGGCUCUAGAUUAACUCUUUGUGAUCUCACCAGAAAUCUGCAGGAAUCGUUUGGGCCACUUUUUGAGACAAGUACUUCCACAAGCCUGCAGGCUACUAGAAGAUUUAGGGAUGAAGACCGCUCGUAAAGCUCUGUGUGGCGUGAAUCACAGCAAAGGCAUUAGUACUGUGUGAGCGUGUUCAAUAACUGAUGCAAACAGUUAAAGCGGUGACACAACAGGAAGCAAAGUGGUGAUUUAACCUCGCAUUCCUGGUGCAGGGAACAGCAGCAGCUUGGCAGAUUACUACAGAAAGGGCAGGUGGUUUUGUCGUGGCUCUACAACAGCUUGUGCCAGUAGGAGGGAGAGCGAAGCAGUUCCAGGUGGGUUCAUCACAGGACAAUGGAUAAUCCCACCAGGCACGGAGCUCGGUGGGGCAGCAGCACACGGACCCUGCAGAGCAGCACGGCCACAGCAGGGAUGCAGGUCCAUUCUGAGGAGGCUUGUGACUUCAAUUCUUUAAGUACGGCAAUGCAGAACUUGGAUGCUGUCAUUCAUCAAGUGGGAUCUGCCAUCUCAAAAUCUGUAUUAUCAAAUUAUAAUUUUAAAUAGACCCUGAAAAAUAUCGGUGGUUUUAGUAUAGUGAUUAUUUCUAAGAAUAAAAUUAUGAUAAUUGAAUUUUCUGAAGAGUCUCA